CAAAUCUGUGCAAGCCUGUGUGCUGUGUCUUACACGGUGCACAGAGCUCUGCAACAUUAGCACAGGGUCGCAAGGCUCUGAUGUUUACGCUUGUUUGUUUGACAGAGUUAGUUGAGAAUUAAACAAAGA
rnacentral:misc_RNA from 1 species